rnacentral:rRNA from 1 species
AUUGGAGAUCUCAACGAAAUCCACUUGCUAAGUGAGAAGGAUGGAGGAGAUCCAAGACCAUAACAAUACAUGAUGGUGUUCCAGUCAGCCAUUGAUGAUUGUGAGUUAAGAGAUAUGGGGUUCUUGGGUGACCAAUUCACGUGGUAUCGUGGACACAACAGAGAAAGGUUAGAUAGGGGUCUAAUUAAUAAUACAUGGAGCAUUAUGUAUCCACAUGCGGCGCUACAGAAUCUGGGUUAUAAUCAUUCUGAUCAUAGACCGUUACUAGUGGAUAUAGAAUACUAUUCCCUGGUGGGUGGAUCCGGCAAUCAGGUCAAACACUUCGAAGCAAGAUGGGUUAAAGAAAGUUCUUUUAAUGAUCUGGUUGAGAAAACGUGGCAGCAGGUUGGAUCCAACCCGGACCUCAUAUUUAUUCAUGCUAAACUUAAUUGCAUGCACGAUAUGUUUCAUGAUUGGGAUCAUAGGGUUCUCAAGAGGCCUAAGAAAAGGUUGAGAAAGGCACAAAAAGAUUUGGAGAAGAUAAUGAUUGGCCCUAUGAAUGAUGAGACAGAGGAGAAGGGAAGGAGCUAUCUGAACUGA